rnacentral:rRNA from 1 species
AACGAACGCUGGCGGCAUGCCUAACACAUGCCAGUCGAACGAGACCUUCGGGUCUAGUGGCGCACGGGUGCGUAACGCGUGGGAACCUGCCCUUAGGUUCGGAAUAACUCCCCGAAAGGGGUGCUAAUACCGGAUAAUGUCUUCGGACCAAAGAUUUAUCGCCUUUGGAUGGGCCCGCGUUGGAUUAGCUAGUUGGUAGGGUAAAAGCCUACCAAGGCGACGAUCCAUAGCUGGUCUCAGAGGAUGAUCAGCCACACUGGGACUGAGACACGGCCCAGACUCCUACGGGAGGCAGCAGUGGGGAAUAUUGGACAAUGGGCGAAAGCCUGAUCCAGCAAUGCCGCGUGAGUGAUGAAGGCCUUAGGGUUGUAAAGCUCUUUUACCCGGGAUGAUAAUGACAGUACCGGGAGAAUAAGCGCCGGCUAACUCCGUG